rnacentral:rRNA from 1 species
GACGAACGCUGGCGGCGUGCCUAAUACAUGCAAGUAGAACGCUGAAGGAGGAGCUUGCUUCUCUGGAUGAGUUGCGAACGGGUGAGUAACGCGUAGGUAACCUGCCUGGUAGCGGGGGAUAACUAUUGGAAACGAUAGCUAAUACCGCAUAAGAGUGGAUGUUGCAUGACAUUUGCUUAAAAGGUGCACUUGCAUCACUACCAGAUGGACCUGCGUUGUAUUAGCUAGUUGGUGGGGUAACGGCUCACCAAGGCGACGAUACAUAGCCGACCUGAGAGGGUGAUCGGCCACACUGGGACUGAGACACGGCCCAGACUCCUACGGGAGGCAGCAGUAGGGAAUCUUCGGCAAUGGACGGAAGUCUGACCGAGCAACGCCGCGUGAGUGAAGAAGGUUUUCGGAUCGUAAAGCUCUGUUGUAAGAGAAGAACGAGUGUGAGAGUGGAAAGUUCACACUGUGACGGUAUCUUACCAGAAAGGGACGGCUAACUACGUGCCAGCAGCCGCGGUAAUACGUAGGUCCCGAGCGUUGUCCGGAUUUAUUGGGCGUAAAGCGAGCGCAGGCGGUUAGAUAAGUCUGAAGUUAAAGGCUGUGGCUUAACCAUAGUAGGCUUUGGAAACUGUUUAACUUGAGUGCAAGAGGGGAGAGUGGAAUUCCAUGUGUAGCGGUGAAAUGCGUAGAUAUAUGGAGGAACACCGGUGGCGAAAGCGGCUCUCUGGCUUGUAACUGACGCUGAGGCUCGAAAGCGUGGGGGAGCAAACAGG